rnacentral:rRNA from 1 species
UACGUAGGGUGCGAGCGUUGUCCGGAAUUAUUGGGCGUAAAGAGCUUGUAGGCGGUUUGUCGCGUCUGCUGUGAAAAUCCGGGGCUCAACCCCGGACUUGCAGUGGGUACGGGCAGACUGGAGUGUGGUAGGGGAGACUGGAAUUCCUGGUGUAGCGGUGGAAUGCGCAGAUAUCAGGAGGAACACCGAUGGCGAAGGCAGGUCUCUGGGCCACUACUGACGCUGAGAAGCGAAAGCAUGGGGGAGCGAACAGG